CCCUGUUGCAGGAAGGUCGCCAGCAGCCUGUGGUGUGUGCGUCUCGACCGGCCGGGUCCGUUGAUGUUGGUGCGUGGGUGUGCUGUAAUCUGCCCUGCUCCUGAAGAAGUUGGAAGGUUACUCCGCAAGGAGCCUUUCCAAACCCGCGGCAUCAGAGUGAACUGCAUUUACGUGGAUCUGGAGAAGUGAGGAAAAGCAAGUCAGAAUCACUCAGAGACACCGAAAUUGGAUUUUUGAUCCCAUGAGUGAGGCUGAAACUCUGGGUUGUGGAUGGGGAGAAGGGUAAAGGAGACAACCCUCUGGGAUCCCAUGGUCUGCCCUCUUGGGAAUCAGCACCUAUCCCGAAACACUCAGAGCUUCCAGCCACUGGCCAUCUCAUCAGCAUCAACUUAAGUGUAUGAGGAAAGGUAGUGCUAGGAUAGCAAGGAACUCUCCUACCACUUCUAUCCUUAAGGAAAUUCUAAGGAUUGUAGAUGCUCAGUGUGAAUGAAUUCUAAACAUGUAUUUCAUACUGUAUCACAUAAUCAUACCGUACUUAACUCUUACUAUAUUUACUUGAUGCCUUUGAGACUUUUUAUAUAUUUUCAAUGGAAGCUAUAAGUUUGAUAAAAUUGUAAAAACUAUUAAAACUUACCAUGUUAUUUACAUACUUAUUUAUAAAUUACCAACUAGAAUUUUUCCAGUUAAUUUUUGUUGGAGGAUGUAUUGUAACUAUCGAUAAACAACUUAACAGAUGUGAUCUCUGCUAUGAUCUGUGAUAUGUUAGAGUAUGAUUAUAGCAGAUCUCCAGGUCAUGAUGGAUUUUGUUUGUUAAUUUACAUAAAAAUUACUAUAGCAUGUGGUAUUUUGUUAAAAGUUUGCCAAAGAUUCUAUCUUUGAUAAAAAUUUUAAAGUCUUAUUUCUCAUUCAUAUAAAAUUAACUUAGCUGUCAAAGUACAAUGGCAUCUAGUUAUUACAUUCUAAACCAAUUUUAGAUAAAUGUUUAUUCACAUUAUCUUAAUUAUAUAUUAACUACAGUAUAUUAAUUUUCAACACUCAAAUUGUUGUCACAUUGAAAGUUAAUUCUUUUUAUGUUUAAAGUAAAAUAUUAAGCCUGAUGCUGACAUAAUUUGACAGACUAAAUAAAUGCCAUUAUAAACAUACAAAUUUUCAUCAGUACAUAAUAUUUAUUUUUCCCCAGAGGUGACAGUAGAAUACUAAGAUUCAUCAUCUUAGAGAAUUAUAAUAUUGUCCUGAGAAAUCUGAGUUCCUGAAGAUAAACAUUGCAUUAUAAUUUUCUUUUUCCCACAUCUCUUAAUCUUUCCCUGAAGUACCCUGGGAUCUACUGGUAAUUGCCAAUGAGAGAUUUAUUAGAACUUGCCCAUCAUAGAAAAUUAGGUCACAUAGACUGAGUCACCUCAAAGACCCAAAUAAUAAACAUGAAAUCGUGACCACAUGAUUUUAUAAGAUGUAAUGCAUCACACGUUUUUAGCAUAUUAACUUGUACAACAUCCUUCUAGAUGCCGAAGAAAUGUGACAAUAAAUAAUAUAGUGCUCUUGCUUCCAAAAGCUCGCACUAAUCAGACCUUGCCUUGCUAUGAUGUGUAUUAACGUGCAUCUGCAUCCAUUAGCUCCUUUCCACCCAGGAGAGCUAAACUGAAUAUAUACCUUUGCUGCAUCAGAGGCAGGAAACAUUAUUCUCCAAGUCCCACGACCAUUAAGUGGGGACACAGAAUGUAAAACCAGGCACUUUCUCUCUUAACUCUUAACCUAACGUCUAUUCUAUUCUUCUAGUGUGUAUCUCAGCUAGGAGGCUGAGAUUUCUCGCUUCUUUAAGGAGUUUAAAUAUUCAGGAUCAAGACUUUAAAAUCUUGUCUACUAGAAAAAAAAUGCAAAAUGUAAGAGAAUGAGGAAAAUCUUACAUAAUAUUUGACAAAGAGUUGUCCAUACUUGUAUGGACGUAGAGAAAUAGCUUCUAAUUAAUAAAUAUAUAUCAAAAUUUUCUUUAAAUUCAUAACUAAUUUCAAACUCUUAAAAGAGAGUAACAAUUUUUAGAAAUCAUUAUAAAUCAGAUGUCUCAAAUUAAACACAUUUAUAAUAAUAUGUUAUCAGGAAACUACUGAAAUGAUGUAAAAUUUUCCACAUAAUAUAUAUUGUAUUCAGACACACAACUAAUAAUUUUUAAAAAUCUUUUGUGGAUAAUUUAAAGAAAUGUGAAUUGCACUGAUCAUUAAUCAAUAACUAUUUUAAUGGAAUUUUCAUAAAAGAUUCCUGUGGUAUCCCCACCUUCUUGUUUAAUGUGUAUACAGGCUUGUACCUCUUAACUUGGUCUUCAUUAUGAAAAUUCUUAGCAGCAAAUUGUACUCAAACCCUUUUCUACAGUAUCCAAGUUAACCAAAUUUGCUAGCUUUAACAUAUAUGUUGAAUGACAACAUCAAAAAAUUAAAUGCCUCUGUUAAACUAUAAGUUAACCAAAAAUGUUAGAAGACUUUUAAAUAUAUUUGAAAUUGUAACUUAAAAAUAAACAUUAUUGUGAUUUAAAGUAAUUUCCGGCCUUCUCUUAAAACCUCGGACUGCAUCAGUGUCAGACAGGGGUUUUAUCUCUGUAUUCAUAGGUCACAGAUUUUAUAUUGCAGUUAGAAUGCAUAUAAAAUAAAUACAAAGGUCCUGAGUUUGAUCCCCGGUACCAAAAAAUAAAUAAACAACAGAGAAAGUAUGCGGGGUUAUGAACCCAAUAGAUGCAUACAUAGAGAACACACACAUAGGAAUAAGGGGAUGGAGACUGGUCCAGGAAAAUGAGAAUGCAGGUCUGUCCAAUGAUGCUGGUCUGCUGAAGGUUGCAGAGGAAAAACGGCAAAGUUAAGAGGUGCCUCACUGAAAACGUGUGGAGUGGGCAAGAAUUUGAUGCCAAGAGGAUAUAAUUUCUGUAGGUAUUGGAGUUAUUUAUGUAUUUAUUUAUUUUAAGCAAAACAGCUACAUCUGGGCCUAGGGAGAAAGCAGGGAGUGUCAAGGGUGAAAUGAGGGAGAUGACUGAAGGAAGAAAGGAUGUCAGAAAGGUACCUGGAAGUCAGACACAACCACUCUCUGUAGCCAGCCUAAACUGCCUUGGGAUCUUAACAGUUUUAUACUGAGUGGCAGUGGGAUCAGCUUCCGGCGUGGAAGAUCUCUGGGGUCCAUUAAACGGCAAAAGAGGACAAUGCGGAAGCCAGGUUGUCCUGGGAGGUCUGAGAUUGGAGGUAUGUGGAACGCAACACAAACGGAUGCAUGCAGUCUUAUGCCACUGGAAAAUAAGGCAAGGAAUCAUUUGUGUGAAAAUCAAUUAAUUUUGUUACUUUGUAAGCUUAUGGCAAAUCAAACACAUCAGUUUGUUGAUUAGUUAAAGUAGAAAAUAUAUGUUAGUCUUGAGUGCAAUUUAGUUAUUAGACCAGAUACUUCGUCAAUAGUAUCUCCUUUAAUAAACAUAUAUCCAAUGAAAACAUUCAAAGAAAAGAACACAUAACAAAUUCAUCGGAAAAUAACCUAUUUUUCCAUCUAUCAUUCAGUGCCAUGGACCACAUUGCCACCCUCUCUUACAUAACUGAAGCACCACACUUUUCAUUUGCUUCAUCUCCAAGGAGAUGAAUUAGAAAAAGCAGAUCGGAAUCAGUAUAUACCAAAUGAAAAUGGCCCAGACCAUGUUGUGAAACAGUGAUACCAUGCAAUGCUCUAUCCCAAGUCAAAUCUACUUUCAGAGAUAUUAUACAAAGGGUAAUGUAUUAUAUUUUUAAAGGUCCUCUAUCAUUGACAUAAAAUGAUUUUUACAUUCUAUAAGAACAUUGCAAACAAUAUGACAACCUAUGGCCAUUCUUUUUCAAACCAAAUAAAGUUUAACUGUGUGCAUCCCACACCAAUUAACCUGGAUCCUUCUUUUGGGCUGGGAAUGGACCUGCCUGAGGAUGGUCCAUGUCUGAGACCCUCUGCAUUCUCACAAUGCACUUCGUUUUAUCUUGACAAUCACCACUAGAUGUGUGAACAGUUCUCUUUGGUGAUUUUUCCAGGAAAUCAUCUUUGGAUAAGAAAGAUAACAACUUCAUACUAUAAUUCUGGCAAAUGGUUUUACAUUUUAAGAAGAUUAAAAACUUUCCAGUUGAAAUUUCUAGGAGAAAUUUUUGAAACAAAAAGGGCAAGAAAUAAAGAAUCGUUUGGACAAUCUAAGUUUCCACAAAGAUCAAAUUUAAUUGUUAAAAAGGAAAGGAAGCAGUGGAAAUUGAUCAUCUGUACAGACAAACUGUGUGUACUCUUUAUUGGAGUAAAGCAAUUAACUGAAGAUUCAAACUUGGAAAGCAGAAGAGAUAACUGAAAAUUCUAAAAAUAAGUGAAAUGCUAAGGGAAGGAGCUCAAGAAAGGAAAACAACUGAAACACGAACUAGGAAAAACUAAUGGAAGGUAGAGUAUCUUUCAAAAAAUUACACGAGGAACCCCUACAGGGGAUAGGAAAUCAAAGACAGACUUUUAAAAUGUCAUUUGAAGAUACAUUCCUUAGAAGAAAGCACUUUGUAUUACUGCAACAUCAAAGUUCCCUCGUACCAUUUAUUUUUCUAAGAUGGUAUCUAUGGUGUUUCUAUUAAACACAAAUACACCAUUCUAGAUCACAAACGGAUUUCACAUCUUCCUUUUGAUAGAAAAAAAAAAACAGUUGGAAAAAUAUGCCAAGAAUAUCACCAUGAAAAAUUGACUACUUCCAUAGUCCUCGUUUUGAGCAGAUAAUGUGAUGUAAGUGCUUUUGUGUUUAUUUCUGAGCUGUUGUCUCUAGAACUUAAGAAAUUGUAGACCUAGUAUUUUGUUGUAUGUCUUUGUUUCUUCUGGUAAAAACAAAUGAUUGUUAAUUUGGUGGGGCGCUUCACACUGAGAUAUAUCUCCAGCUCUAUUCUUUUGUUUUAUUUUUUAUUAAUACACAUUUGUAGUAUAUAAUGUGUACAUUCUCUGUCAGGAAUUGGCACAUGUACAUGCAGUAAUACAUCCUAAUCCCUUUUUUAUCCUCUUUCCAUUACCUUCCUCCCCCUCCACCAGUCUCUCUUGAUCCCCUUCCAGUUUUAAAUACAUCUUUGCAGUGCCUAAUAUUUACUUUCUUUAUGUGGAGCUGAUAAACGUAUGCAACACAUCUUAAUUCCUUUUUCAUUCCAUGUAUUUCCCCCUCGAUUAUCCCUUUAUCACCUUCCCCACUGAGAAAGAUUGAUUUUCCUACUUUCUAUUAGCUGUCUUUUAUUUUGCUCUUUAUUUAUACUUUGAAUUUCUCAUAUACAAGAAGCCAUACAUUAUUUACCUGCUAUGUGAGAUAUAAUUCACUUGAUAAUAUGGUCUUGUGGUAUAUCCAUUUUAGGACAAAUGACUCAAGCUUAUUUUUCUUUAUGGGAUUAGCACACUAUUGUUUAUAAAUGCAACAUUUUCUUUAUCUAUUCAUCUGUUGAUAAACAUACAGGCUGCUUCCAAAAUUUACUUAGUAUGAAUUAUGCUGCUAUAAACAUGGGUAAGCGUCUCUUUUGGGAAGACGCCUAAAAGGGGAAUAGCUGGGUCAUAUGGAAUUACUAGUUUCAAUCUUUUGAAGAAUCUCCACACUGAUUUCAGUAGUGGUUGUGUCCAUAAGUUACCCCACCUAUACUUAUACAUGAGAUCUUCUUAUCUCAGUGUUCCAAGUGCCAGGAAUUAAGGCAAGAUCCACCACAUCUCUUUGAUUUCUACACUAUUAAGUGUACAAUAUUGCUAGGUGCUGUGCUAUACAAAAAAUUCUAAUGACUUUAAUUUUUUUUCUCACAUUCUCUUCUUUUUUUUUUUUUUUUUUGGCGCUAGGGAUCAAACUCGGGACCUUGAGCUUUCGAGGCAGGCGCCAGAACCACUGAGCUAAAUCCCCAGCCCUACUCUUCUUUUUAAUCACUCAUAUUUUUAACUGCUUUUACUAACAACAUUUAUUCAAAACAACCAAAAGUAUAGUAGUGUGUGUGUGUGUGUAUAUAUGUAAAUACAUCACAUGUAUAUACAUGUAUAUAUGAUGCAAAUAUCAUAUAUACAUGUUUCUAUCACAUAAAAUGUAUUUUAUAUGAUAAAAUGUAUACACAUAUACAUAUAAACUAGGUACUAUAUAUACAAUAUGCACACAUACAUAUACGUGUUAACAUACAUGUGUAUAUGUAUAAAAUGUAGUACUGUGUACAAAUCUGUAAACAUUCACAUAUAGUGAGAUCUAAAUAGAAAAAACACAUUUGAUUACUUGACCUAAUAAUAUUACCAUAAUUACAUUUAAAAAACAAUUUUGUAAACACAGAAGGUCACAUGGCUCUAGGGCGAAUAUGUACGUUUAUACAUAUCCUAUUUAUCCAGACGCAAUAAAUUACUAUAAAACAGAUAUAAUGGGAUUAUUUUCCUCUUCAUUUUUCUUCAGUAAAAUAUAUUGAAAGUUGUUGUAUUUUUGCCUUUCUAUAUCUAAAACACUAUCAAAUUCUUUAAUAAACAUGAAUCAUAAUAUUUCUUUCCCCAUUGAUUAUAAAAUUCAAUGUUAUUCUACAUCUAUUUUGAACCAGCUUACACAUGUAUUUAGCUUAUUUUCUAAUGCAUUUUGACACAAGCUCACUAUUAUAUGAAGAGUGGUAUUCUCAGUGUUUCAAAAAUUAUAUUUGAUAGAAGCAAAAAGGAUAAAAUUGUUCUCCUAUCAUUUUUCAUCAGACUUAUUCCAUUGCACAUGAAGGUAGUGUAGUUUUCCUUUUAUUGUAUCACUACAAUAUCCCUAAUUCUCUAUCCUAUACAACUGCAAAUUUCUAGUCUAUCUGAGGACCUAGGGAAAGCACCAUCAAUGAGGACAUAAUUUCCAUGUAUUGAGAAGGGAAAUUGAAUCCGUGCCUCCAGAAGCUUCUUUCGAGUUUCAGCCUCUCUCCUGUCUUCACCCAGAAUCCCUCAUUCUUUAUGCCUAAUCCAUCUAUGAGUAAAUUCCUCUGAAGACUCGGAGUCAGUUCUUCCAGAGACUUGCUCUUUACUCCCUAAAUAAUUCCUAGCACUUCCGUGUAUAUCAAUUGAAUAUCUUCAUUGUUUUAUUCACUUUUAGCCAGAGUCCAAGCAAAUCGAAGUCUUUGAAAAUAUAGAAUCCUGGGUAUUCAUUAGCACCCAUAAUGAAAGUUACCAUUUUUUUCUUUUUCUCCAACAUCUUUAAUUAGUGGAUACUUCAACAAAAGUUUUUAACUCUUUUUGAUUGUAAGUUUCAUAUCCUUGCCUCUGUCUCUACUUCCUUCUGAAUUCCUUUUCAGAAAUGCAAGCUAACCACUCCCCAAAAUGAUUGCAAACUUUGUGAAUUGCAAACAUAUACCAAUAAAAAAUUAAAAAGUUAAAAAACAUAACCUAAAGCAUUCUUUAGACUGAUGGAUUUUAUUUGUAAGAUCUUUCUCUUUUUAGAAUAAGAAGUUAUUAAAAUAUAAGCCCAUUAUGUUUUCCUUUAACUAUUCAUACUUUUAGAUGUACUUCUAAUAGUCACUGAUAUGAGGACCAGAUUCUUUUAUGUUUAAAGUAUAAAAAUACCUUGUCUAUAUACUCUAUAUAUCAAUUACUACUAUUAAAAAUAAGUCCCUCUUUUUAGGAUUAUUUUAUUCUUUCUCUCCAAAGUGAUGGACAAGGGAGAUUGAUUUUCCUUAAAAUAGUCAUAUUUGUCCUUCCACUUCCCUAACCAAAUGCUUUGCAGGCUCCUCACAGUCUCUAGGAAAUGUCUGGUUCACUUGGCUAGCACUCAAAUUCCUCCAGAGGUAUCCAGAACUAGCUGCUCCUUCACCCUCAGUGUCUGAUUUAUGGUUUGUGUUUCCUUCCUGGUUCAGGGUCUUCUCUGUCAGGAGCUUCUGCCCUCUCCCAUGGUUGUGAAUCAUGACACCGAGUACUUUGAGCUUUUUCUCCUACUCCCUGCAUUUCUUGUGAUGCCAUUCUUUCUUCAGGCUAAGUUUGAAUAUUUUUGCCUUUCUAUUGUUCAUUAUUCCCUUUCACACACAUUAUCUUUCUCAUUACAUCUGCUUCCUAAGAAUUCAUAGCACAGAAUAGGUUAUUAGGAAAUUAACUCAACUCUUCAUUCUUCCCUUGAAAAAAGAAAAAAAACAUACUUGAGGGAUAAAACAGUUAAGUUGAAAUAAAAUGCAUGUAAUUUCUAAGUUCACUUUAGGACAGACAGUUGUUUGAUUUUAUUUUAUGAUUCCUAUUUGAUUAUAAUAUGUCAUCUCAUUACAGAAAUAUAAUGUUUCUCUGACUUUGGG
ensembl:lncRNA